rnacentral:rRNA from 1 species
GACGAACGCUGGCGGCGUGCUUAACACAUGCAAGUCGAACGGAAAGGCCCCUUUGGGGGUACUCGAGUGGCGAACGGGUGAGUAACACGUGAGUAACCUGCCCUUGACUUCGGGAUAACUUCAGGAAACUGGGGCUAAUACCGGAUAGGAAUCCUUGCUGCAUGGUGGGGGUUGGAAAGCUUCGGCGGUUUUGGAUGGACUCUCGGCUUAUCAGCUUGUUGGUGGGGUAGUGGCUUACCAAGGCUUUGACGGGUAGCCGGCCUGAGAGGGCGACCGGCCACAUUGGGACUGAGAUACGGCCCAGACUCCUACGGGAGGCAGCAGUGGGGAAUAUUGCACAAUGGGCGGAAGCCUGAUGCAGCAACGCCGCGUGCGGGAUGACGGCCUUCGGGUUGUAAACCGCUUUCAGCAGGGGCGAAGCUUGUGGUGACGGUACCUGCAGAAGAAGCACCGGCUAACUACGUG